rnacentral:rRNA from 1 species
AUUGAACGCUGGCGGAAUGCUUUACACAUGCAAGUCGAGCGGCAGCACGGGGGCAACCCUGGUGGCGAGCGGCGAACGGGUGAGUAAUACAUCGGAACAUGCCCAGUCGCGGGGGAUAACACUUCGAAAGAAGUGCUAAUACCGCAUACGUCCUGAGGGAGAAAGCGGGGGAUCUUCGGACCUCGCGCGAUUGGAGUGGCCGAUGUCAGAUUAGCUAGUUGGUGGGGUAAAGGCCUACCAAGGCAACGAUCUUUAGCUGGUCUGAGAGGAUGAGCGGCCACACUGGGACUGAGACACGGCCCAGACUCCUACGGGAGACAGCAGUGGGGAAUUUUGGACAAUGGGGGCAACCCUGAUCCAGCCAUUCCGCGUGAGUGAAGAAGGCCUUCGGGUUGUAAAGCUCUUUCGGCAGGAACGAAACGGUGAGCUCUAACAUAGCUUGCUAAUGACGGUACCUGAAGAAGAAGCACCGGCUAACUACGUGCCAGCCGCCGCCGUAAUAC